UUUCCAUGAACCCUGAAAUGAUCCUCCUCACACUAUCUAGAUCGACAACUCUCACACCAUUGUAGUCGAGAGCAAUGGUGAGUAGAUCCCCAACCUCGACUUUGUCGAGGUCUGAUGAUAUCCGCUUCUCCAAUUGUCGUCGUGUUGCAGUGGAGCAGUUGAGGUGGAUCGCAGCACGGAGGAGGCAGCAGAGGAAGCCGAUGGGGAGAGGGGCGUCACGGUCGGCAGGGAGGAGGGUGGUGAUGGACUCAAGGAGGCUGCGUUGGUGGGAGAGGGAGUCAUUGGUGGGCAGCGGUGAUUUGGGGACAAGGGCAGCACCAGAGAGGCGAAUGAGGCCAGGGAGUGUUUUCUCAAUAUAGGUGAUGAUGGCGGUGGCUAGGGCUUUAGGGGUGGCAUUACGGGUCUUCAUGGCAAUAAGGACAUUCUGGAAAUUGGCCGGGCUGAUGGUUGCAAGCUCAGCUGCCCACCAGUCGGGCGGGGACCGGGUUGUGAAGUUGGACUCAACACAAGCCUUGAGGGCAAUGACAUCGAUACAGUGUUGAACAAUACCAAGCUCGUCGGCGAGGGGAAGAAGGUCAUCGCAGGACCUGAGCACGGCGAGGGCACCGGGGAGCGAUUUGAGGGCAGCCUGUGCAAGAAAACCUUCGGUCCGACCAAUGAGGUUUUCCGGGUAGAUUUCAUCUGUCAUUUCCAGAUACUCGGCAGCGCAGCGGAGGGCG
rnacentral:misc_RNA from 1 species